rnacentral:tRNA from 1 species
UCCCUGAUGGUUCAGUGGCAAAGACUCCAUACUCUCAGCGCAGGGAGCCCAGGUUUGAUCCCUGGUCAGGGAA